GACGAACGCUGGCGGCGUGCUUAACACAUGCAAGUCGAACGGAAAGGCCCUGCUUUUGUGGGGUGCUCGAGUGGCGAAAGGGUGAGUAACACGUGAGUAACCUGCCCUUGACUUUGGGAUAACUUCAGGAAACUGGGGCUAAUACCGGAUAGGAGCUCCUGCUGCAUGGUGGGGGUUGGAAAGUUUCGGCGGUUGGGGAUGGACUCGCGGCUUUUCAGCUUGUUGGUGGGGUAGGGGCUUACCAAGGCUUCGACGGGUGGCCGGCCUGGGAGGGUGACAGGACACGUGGGAACGGGAAUGAGCCACGGCCCAGAAGGGGACGGGAGGGGGGAGAGGGGAAUAGUGGGGAAGGGGCGCAAGCGUGACCCAGCCGUGCGGGGGGGGUGGCGAAGGGGUUAGGAGUGUAAAGCCCUUUUGUCCGGGACGAGAAUGACGGUACCGGAAGAAUAAGCCCCGGCUAACUUCGUG
rnacentral:rRNA from 1 species